GGCUGUGGGGGUAGCUCAGUAGGUAGAGCAUGAGACUCUUAAUCUCAGAGUUGUGGGUUCGAGUCCCAGGUUGGGUG
rnacentral:tRNA from 1 species